CUCGGAUAGGUGUGUGCGUAGCCGCCUUUCUCCCGAGGUUGGCUCCACCCUUCAGCGUUCGGCUUGGUGCAGCUCUGUCCCCCCCAGUGGUGCAUGGUACAGCCCCCGACCCCCUCAACCUCUCCCUCCCUCUCGGGCUCGGAGUGGUACGCGCCCCCCCCCUCCCCCCGGGCAGACACGGAACUGGCGCGCGCUGGAAGCCGCGCCGGCAAGCGACCGACGCUCAGCUGCCAGGGGCGGUCUGACUGGGCCUGGCCGGUUCCCCGAGGCUCGGGAGAUAAUACCAGAAAUCCUCCUGGGAACAUUGACUCCUUGUGCGGUGCCUUGAAGUUUCUGUGAGAUGAACUGAUGAAUUGGAAUCAUGGUGCAAAAGAAGAAGUUCUGUCCUCGGUUACUUGACUAUCUAGUGAUCGUAGGGGCCAGGCACCCGAGCAGUGAUAGUGUGGCCCAGACUCCCGAAUUGCUACGGCGAUACCCGCUGGAGGACCACGCUGAGUUUCCCCUGCCCCCAGACGUUGUGUUUUUCUGCCAACCAGAGGGCUGUCUGAGUGUGAGGCAGCGACGCAUGAGCCUGCGGGAUGACACUUCUUUCGUCUUCACCCUCACUGACAAGGACACUGGAGUCACGCGUUACGGCAUCUGUGUUAACUUCUACCGCUCCUUCCAGAAGCGAAUGCCUAAGGAGAAGGGGGAAGGUGGGGGAGGGUCCCGUGGGAAGGAAGGACCCCGUGCCACUUGUGCCUCAGAAGAAGUUGGUACUGAGAGCUCGGAGAGUGGCUUGUCCCUGCAGCCUCCCAAUGCUGACUCUGCCCCUGAGGUGAAUCAGUCUCCUCGGGGCAAACCCCGGGCCAAAGCAGGAAGUCGUUCCCGCAACAGUACUCUGACAUCCUUGUGUGUGCUCAGCCACUACCCCUUCUUCUCCACCUUCCGAGAAUGUCUGUACACCCUCAAACGUCUGGUGGACUGCUGCAGUGAGCGGCUGCUGGGCAAGAAACUAGGCAUCCCUCGAGGCAUACAAAGGGACACUAUGUGGCGCAUCUUUACUGGAUCAUUGCUAGUGGAGGAGAAGUCAAGUGCCCUUCUGCAUGACCUUCGAGAGAUUGAGGCCUGGAUCUAUCGAUUGCUGCGCUCCCCAGUGCCUGUUUCUGGGCAGAAGCGAGUAGACAUUGAAGUCCUACCCCAGGAGCUCCAACAAGCUCUGACCUUUGCUCUUCCAGACCCUUCUCGAUUCACCCUAGUGGAUUUCCCACUGCACCUUCCCUUGGAACUUCUGGGUGUGGAUGCCUGUCUUCAGGUGCUAACCUGCAUCCUGUUAGAGCACAAGGUGGUGCUACAGUCCCGAGACUACAAUGCCCUUUCCAUGUCUGUGAUGGCGUUUGUGGCGAUGAUCUACCCAUUGGAGUAUAUGUUUCCUGUAAUCCCACUGUUGCCCACCUGCAUGGCAUCUGCAGAACAGCUACUGUUGGCUCCAACUCCGUACAUCAUUGGGGUCCCUGCCAGCUUCUUCCUCUACAAACUGGACUUCAAAAUGCCUGAUGAUGUAUGGCUGGUGGAUCUGGACAGCAAUAGGGUGAUUGCCCCCACCAAUGCAGAAGUGCUACCAAUCCUGCCAGAACCGGAAUCAUUGGAGCUGAAAAAGCAUCUGAAGCAGGCCCUUGCCAGCAUGAGUCUCAACACCCAGCCCAUCCUCAAUCUGGAGAAAUUCCAUGAAGGCCAAGAGAUCCCCCUUCUCUUGGGAAGGCCCUCUAACGACUUGCAGUCCACACCUUCCACUGAAUUCAACCCACUCAUUUAUGGCAAUGAUGUAGAUUCUGUGGAUGUCGCAACCAGAGUGGCCAUGGUCCGCUUCUUCAACUCCCCCAACGUGCUGCAGGGUUUUCAGAUGCACACACGUACCCUGCGCCUCUUCCCUCGGCCUGUGGUAGCUUUUCAAGCUGGCUCCUUUCUAGCCUCACGUCCCCGACAGACUCCUUUUGCUGAGAAGCUGGCCAGGACUCAGGCUGUGGAGUACUUUGGCGAAUGGGUCCUUAACCCCACCAACUAUGCCUUCCAGCGAAUUCACAACAAUAUGUUUGAUCCAGCCCUGAUUGGUGACAAGCCAAAGUGGUAUGCUCAUCAGCUGCAGCCUAUCCAUUAUCGAGUCUAUGAUAGCAAUUCCCAGCUGGCGGAGGCACUGAGUGUGCCACCAGAGCGUGACUCUGACUCGGACCCUACUGAUGACAGUGGCAGUGAUAGCAUGGAUUAUGAUGACUCAAGCUCUUCUUACUCCUCCCUUGGUGACUUUGUCAGUGAAAUGAUGAAAUGUGACAUCAAUGGUGAUACCCCUAAUGUGGAUCCAUUGACGCAUGCAGCCCUGGGGGAUGCCAGUGAGGUGGAGAUUGCUGAGCUGCAGAACCAGAAGGAAUCAGAGGAACCUGGCCCAGACAGCGAGAACCCUCAGGAAAACCCCCCGCUGCGCUCCAGCUCCAGCACCACCGCCAGCAGUAGCCCCAGCACUGUCGUCCAUGGAGCUAAUUCUGAACCUGCUGACUCAACGGAGGUGGACGAUAAGGCAGCAGUAGGCGUUUCCAAGCCCCUCCCUACCACGCCUCCCAGCAUUGGCAAAUCGACCGCGGACAGGCGUCAGACAGAAAUUGGAGAGGGGUCAGUGCACCGGCGAACCUAUGACAAUCCAUACUUCGAGCCCCAAUAUGGCUUUCCCCCUGAGGAAGAUGAUGAUGAGCAGGGGGAAAGUUACACUCCCCGAUUCAGCCAACAUGUCAAUGGCAAUCGGGCUCAAAAGCUGCUGCGGCCCAACAGCUUGAAACUGGCAAGCGACUCAGACGCAGAAUCAGACUCUCGAGCGAGCUCUCCCACCUCCACCGUCUCCAACAACAGCACCGAGGGCUUCGGGGGCAUCAUGUCUUUUGCCAGCAGCCUAUAUCGGAACCACAGUACAAGCUUCAGCCUUUCAAACCUCACGCUGCCCACCAAAGGUGCCCGAGAGAAGACCACACCCUUCCCCAGUCUGAAAGUAUUUGGGCUAAAUACUCUAAUGGAGAUUGUUACUGAAGCCGGCCCCGGGAGUGGUGAAGGAAACAGGAGGGCCUUAGUGGACCAGAAGUCAUCUGUUAUUAAACACAGCCCAACAGUGAAAAGAGAGCCUCCAUCACCUCAGGGUCGAUCCAGCAAUUCUAGUGAGAACCAGCAGUUCCUGAAGGAGGUGGUGCACAGUGUGCUGGACGGCCAGGGCGUUGGCUGGCUCAACAUGAAAAAGGUGCGCCGGCUGCUGGAGAGUGAGCAGCUGCGCGUCUUUGUCCUGAGCAAGCUGAACCGCACAGUGCAGUCGGAGGACGACGCCCGGCAAGACGUCAUCCCUGAUGUGGAGGUCAGUCGAAAGGUGUACAAGGGGAUGCUAGACCUGCUCAAGUGCACGGUGCUCAGCCUGGAGCAGUCCUAUGCCCACGCGGGCCUGGGAGGCAUGGCCAGCACCUUUGGGCUUCUGGAGAUUGCCCAGACCCACUACUACAGUAAAGAACCAGACAAGCGGAAGAGAAGUCCAACAGAGAGCGUAAAUACACCAGUUGGCAAGGAUCCUGGCCUGGCCGGGCGGGGGGACCCAAAGGCUAUGGCACAGCUGAGAGUUCCCCAGCUAGGACCUCGGGCACCAAGUGCUGCAGGAAAGGGUCCUAAAGAGCUAGACACCAGAAGUUUAAAGGAAGAGAAUUUUGUAGCGUCUAUUGGGCCUGAAGUAAUCAAACCCGUCUUUGACCUUGGUGAGACAGAAGAGAAAAAGUCCCAGAUCAGCGCGGACAGUGGCGUGAGCCUGACAUCUGGUUCCCAGAGGACUGAUCCAGACUCUGUCAUUGGUGUGAGUCCAGCUGUUAUGAUCCGAAGCUCAAGUCAGGACUCUGAAGUUAGCACCGUGGUGAGUAAUAGUUCUGGAGAGACCCUUGGAGCAGACAGUGACCUGAGCAGCAACGCAGGUGAUGGAGCAGGUGGUGAGGGCAGCGCCCACUUGGCCAGCUCUCGGGGCACUUUGUCUGAUAGUGAAAUUGAGACCAACUCCGCUACCAGCACCAUCUUUGGGAAAGCCCACAGCUUGAAGCCAAGUGUAAAGGAGAAGCUGGUGGGCAGCCCAGUUCGCUCUUCUGAAGAUGUAAGCCAGCGAGUCUAUCUCUACGAGGGACUCUUAGGCAAAGAGCGUUCUACUUUGUGGGACCAAAUGCAGUUCUGGGAAGAUGCAUUCUUAGAUGCUGUGAUGUUGGAGAGAGAAGGAAUGGGUAUGGAUCAGGGUCCCCAGGAAAUGAUCGACAGGUACCUGUCCCUGGGAGAACAUGACCGGAAGCGUCUGGAGGAUGAUGAAGAUCGUUUGCUGGCCACGCUUUUGCACAACCUCAUCUCCUACAUGCUGCUGAUGAAGGUAAAUAAGAAUGACAUCCGGAAGAAGGUGAGGCGCCUGAUGGGAAAGUCGCAUAUUGGGCUUGUGUACAGCCAGCAAAUCAAUGAAGUGCUUGAUCAGCUGGCUAACCUGAAUGGACGUGACCUCUCUAUCCGGUCCAGUGGCAGCCGACACAUGAAGAAGCAGACAUUUGUGGUACAUGCGGGGACAGACACAAAUGGAGAUAUCUUCUUCAUGGAGGUGUGUGAUGACUGUGUGGUGUUGCGUAGUAACAUCGGGACGGUGUAUGAGCGCUGGUGGUACGAGAAGCUCAUCAACAUGACCUACUGUCCCAAGACCAAGGUGUUGUGCUUGUGGCGUAGAAAUGGCUCUGAGACUCAGCUCAACAAAUUCUAUACUAAGAAGUGUCGGGAGCUGUACUACUGUGUGAAGGAUAGCAUGGAGCGAGCUGCUGCCCGACAGCAAAGCAUCAAACCCGGCCCUGAACUAGGUGGCGAGUUCCCCGUGCAGGACAUGAAGACGGGUGAGGGUGGCUUGCUGCAGGUCACCCUAGAAGGGAUCAAUCUCAAGUUCAUGCACAACCAGGUCUGGACUCACAUGGCAGUAACUCAAACCUCGGAGCUCCAGAGGAGGGACUAGAGGCAGAGAGAAGAACCACCUCUGCAGAGAGGUCAGGAGGAUUAGGAGCGAUAGGGAAGAAAAGGGAACCCGAGAUGAGCAAAGGGAAGGAGGAAGAAAGAAAAGAGAGACCAGAGCCGCUAGGGAGUGGGUCCCGGAAGAGCAAGUGGCCUUAGACAGGGUUAGAGUUCAGAGAUGCCCCUACAAAGGCUCAGCGAGCUGGUGCCACCUUCCCUUGCUUGGCCAGCUGGUGAUCAGAAAGUUCUGGGGCAGAGCAGACGGGCAGUUUCCAAGCUCUACUGUGUUCAUGUCGCCUGCUGCGAUUCUCCUGGCAGCCCAGUGCUCCAUGUAGCCACCUGGUGCCGCUCUGGUGUCCCCUGAGCCUCUGCGCUGGAGGAGGGCGCAUGGUGGUACCGGCAGACUCACUCUGGAAGGCAGGGAGCCUCGUGGGCCUCAGAGGCAGGCAGGGCAGUUGUAGCUGGAGGCUGGGAGCCAGCCUCCCUGCAGCCAGGCGCUGAGAAGUGGUGUAGUGGGUUCUCACCCUGGGGCUUUGAGUUCCUGCUGUGUUUGUGCUUCAUUCUUUUGUGCCCCCCAUCGCUGCUAUGAAAACCUUCGUUCUCCAGCAGGUAAAGUGACCUCGGCUCGUGCUGCCUCCCCCCAGGCCCCUGCCUGGGCCCUGCCGUGGGUGGGAUGGGCUCCCUUCAACCAGGCCAGCCGCUCCCAUUGCCAGUUGUCUCAUCCCUUUUCUCCCCACCCUCUUCCUCUCAGCCUCCCCCCACCCGCGUGCUGGCUCACUCGUUCUGAGUUUUCUCCCCUGUGUGCUCCCUCCUCUCUUCUGCCAGAGAGAUAUUUGGGGGAAUCUUUCAACUCAGAAGAAGGACCUGGGCUUCUUGCUCUACCUAUGAUGAGUUUAUUCCCUGGUUAACCCUGGGUCCCCCUGAGUUCUACCUCCCAGGGUCGGAAGAAGGUGUGGCCAACUCUCCUGCUACCUUUUCUGGCCCCCAGGGUGAUGCCAUGCCCCCCUGCUCCCACCUCCAGGGGCCAUCAGGAUGGCUGUGCCCCGGGGGGGGGGGGGGGCCUUUCUCCUUCCUCUGGCCAAGCAGAACCCCUGCAUGGCUGGGGCAGGAGUGACUCUUAGUCUUGCAUUCUGGGCUGUGGACAUGUGUGUAUUUUGCCUGAUGCUCCCUGUCACCUCCCUCCCCGGGUGCUGUACUCGCCUGUCUUCCGCUCGGUGUGUCUGCUCCAGAGCCCUCUGACGCUCUCCCUCACACAGGCAGGCCUGGGCCUCUCCUGCCACUCAGGGAAGGAAACUUACAGGUCUGGUGGGUUGAGUAUCAUGCCGCUUCUUCAUCCAGCCUAAGGACCCUCUGUGUAGAGGCUGGGAGUGCAGGGAACCAUGCUUAACAUGAACAGUCUCGGGCUGGUCACAGGAAUGAGUUCUCGGGCAUCUCAGCACGGCGAGAGGCACAGGCUAGAGACAACUCUCAGCCAAAACGUGGGAACGCCCCACCGCAGCUCUGCAGGGCCCUGGACAGUGGCAGUGAACAGGCUGGUGAGAGGCCAGCCCGCUCCCCUGCUGAGGCUCUCCAGGAAGUGGGUAGAGUCACAGCCAUGGCACAGGGAGCCACAGCAGGCCUCAGAGGUCUGGCUGAGGAGUCUGGGGCAGCGGCCUCUCAUCCAGCAGCAGCUGGACAGAAGCUGGCAUGGCCUGAGCCGCCACAGCCACUGGGACGUGCCACGGUGGGGAAGGGGACCCUGGUGCCGGGCGCUGCCGCCUGGGAGAGCCUGGCACUACCGCUCUUAGUUUUGAACUUUCUGUUUUGUCUCUUGCCCGUCCGGUUUUAGUUCCUGAAAUUAAAGAAGUGGUGAGCCACAAGUACAAGACACCAAUGGCCCAUGAGAUCUGCUACUCUGUGUUGUGUCUCUUCUCGUAUGUGGCCGCAGUCCGUAGCAGUGAGGAAGAUCUCAGGACCCCACCCCGGCCCGUCUCGAG